rnacentral:rRNA from 1 species
CAGGAUGAACGCUGGCGGCGUGCCUAAUACAUGCAAGUCGAGCGAACAGAUAAGGAGCUUGCUCCUUUGACGUUAGCGGCGGACGGGUGAGUAACACGUGGGUAACCUACCUAUAAGACUGGAAUAACUCCGGGAAACCGGGGCCAAUGCCGGAUAACAUUUAGAACCGCAUGGUUCUAAAGUGAAAGAUGGUUUUGCUAUCACUUAUAGAUGGACCCGCGCCGUAUUAGCUAGUUGGUAAGGUAACGGCUUACCAAGGCAACGAUACGUAGCCGACCUGAGAGGGUGAUCGGCCACACUGGAACUGAGACACGGUCCAGACUCCUACGGGAGGCAGCAGUAGGGAAUCUUCCGCAAUGGGCGAAAGCCUGACGGAGCAACGCCGCGUGAGUGAUGAAGGUCUUCGGAUCGUAAAACUCUGUUAUUAGGGAAGAACAAAUGUGUAAGUAACUGUGCACGUCUUGACGGUACCUAAUCAGAAAGCCACGGCUAACUACGUGCCAGCAGCC